CUCCUAUUCCUUAUGUUCUUGUGUUCGAAUCCCCAUGGAAUCAGACCAAGUGCUGUCCAAUUGGAUGAGGCUGGUUGAUUUUGUGAUCGGAACACGAGGAAGCCUCUCGAGUAUUAUUCAGAAAUAACAGAAUAUUUGAAGAGGAUUCACAGACAGCAAACUCCAAACAAACAUCAUAUCAAAAUCUGACACAAUCAAUUCAUUAAUAAGAAACUGGAUAUUAUUGGCCUUUGGGUGCAAGUAUUGAGUUCCCUGUCAUUAAUACUCACCGCAUAUAAUUUUUCUUUCAUACCCUCCCUGUCGAUCUGAACCAAAGGCUUACCUUUAUAUCCCAUGAUCCAUAAGUUAGUGUGAAGAACAUGUUUUUAUCCACAUUGUCAAUAUUAACAGUAAACGGUACAGCUCUAUCAAUUCUCCGUUCAGCUCCAGUUAAUCCCUCACAUCAUAAAUUUCUCAACAUUGAACCAUUCUGGCAAAUGACGCAGCCUGCCCCCUCUCAGAGACCCUGCCAUCCUUCCCAAUGUGUGAGGUAAGGAUCCUGCCAUCCUUCCCAAUGCAUGGGUGAUCUGGCCCCUUCCCCCCUCUCAGAGAACCUGCCAUCCUUCCCAGUGUGUGAGGUAAGGGUCCUGCUAUCCUUCCCAAUGUGUGGACGAUCUGGCCCCUC